GGCUCAGAUUGAACGCUGGCGGCAUGCCUUACACAUGCAAGUCGAACGGUAACAGGUCUUCGGAUGCUGACGAGUGGCGAACGGGUGAGUAAUACAUCGGAACGUGCCCAGUAAUGGGGGAUAGCUCGGCGAAAGCCGGAUUAAUACCGCAUACGCCCUGAGGGGGAAAGUGGGGGAUCGCAAGACCUCACGUUAUUGGAGCGGCCGAUGGCUGAUUAGCUAGUUGGUAGGGUAAAGGCCUACCAAGGCGACGAUCAGUAGCUGGUCUGAGAGGACGAUCAGCCACACUGGGACUGAGACACGGCCCAGACUCCUACGGGAGGCAGCAGUGGGGAAUUUUGGACAAUGGGGGAAACCCUGAUCCAGCAAUGCCGCGUGUGCGAAGAAAGCCUUCGGGUUGUAAAGCACUUUUGUCAGGGAAGAAAUCCUUUGGGCUAAUACCCUAGGGGGAUGACGGUACCUGAAGAAUAAGCACCGGCUAACUACGUGCCAGCAGCCGCGGUAAUACGUAGGGUGCAAGCGUUAAUCGGAAUUACUGGGCGUAAAGCGUGCGCAGGCGGUUGUGUAAGACAGGUGUGAAAUCCCCGGGCUUAACCUGGGAAUUGCAUUUGUGACUGCACGACUAGAGUGUGUCAGAGGGGGGUGGAAUUCCACGUGUAGCAGUGAAAUGCGUAGAUAUGUGGAGGAACACCAAUGGCGAAGGCAGCCCCCUGGGAUAACACUGACGCUCAUGCACGAAAGCGUGGGGAGCAAACAGGAUUAGAUACCCUGGUAGUCCACGCCCUAAACGAUGUCAACUAGUUGUUGGGGAUUUACUUCCUUGGUAACGUAGCUAACGCGUGAAGUUGACCGCCUGGGGAGUACGGCCGCAAGGUUAAAACUCAAAGGAAUUGACGGGGACCCGCACAAGCGGUGGAUGAUGUGGAUUAAUUCGAUGCAACGCGAAAAACCUUACCUACCCUUGACAUGGCAGAAACUUUCCAGAGAUGGAUUGGUGCUCGAAAGAGAACCUGCACACAGGUGCUGCAUGGCUGUCGUCAGCUCGUGUCGCGAGAUGUUGGGUUAAGUCCCGCAACGAGCGCAACCCUUGUCAUUAGUUGCUACGAAAGGGCACUCUAAUGAGACUGCCGGUGACAAACCGGAGGAAGGUGGGGAUGACGUCAAGUCCUCAUGGCCCUUAUGGGUAGGGCUUCACACGUCAUACAAUGGUCGGUACAGAGGGUUGCCAAGCCGCGAGGUGGAGCCAAUCCCAGAAAACCGAUCGUAGUCCGGAUCGCAGUCUGCAACUCGACUGCGUGAAGUCGGAAUCGCUAGUAAUCGCGGAUCAGAAUGCCGCGGUGAAUACGUUCCCGGGUCUUGUACACACCGCCCGUCACACCAUGGAAGUGGGUUCUACCAGAAGUGGCUAGUCUAACCGCAAGGAGGACGGUCACCACGGUAGGAUUCA
rnacentral:rRNA from 1 species